CGCACGCCUUGCUCCUCUGCGGCCGCCAUGAAGCCGCCAGAGUCCCACAGCUGCGGUCCCAAACGCAUAAGCUCUCCUGGCCCCAAAUAGAACACUAGAGAUUUUCGACAAAUAUGCCGAUAAAUUAUCUAUUCAAAUUCUCAGCGCGGCCAUAUGCUUGAUCGCUAUCUGAUGAAAGAGUCUGGACACUCAUUUGCGGCAUCAUUUGAAGGAUAUGCCUCCAGUACAUUUAUACAGAAUGAGCCCAAAGCCCACCGAUUGAAGAGCGACGGAAACCAGGAGGGAGGAGAAAAUCCACAGUGUGCACAGCACAAAGCUGCCUAUUCACUGUGCUGCUACGUGUAUGUAGUUACCUGUUCCACUGCACCUCUAGGAAAUUAGUAGCUACAAGCCAACUCAUUGCAAGUCAGAGAGAGUCUGCAGAAUACUAACAUCACAUAAGCUAACCUAAUACCUCCGCUUAUCAGUAAUAAAAGCCAUGACUAUCAAUGACACACCUCUCUAAUCAAAACAUAAUAAAUAAUUUCAGGGCCCAAGGGAAAAGUCUGGUAGCAUAUCACUGCAAUGAUGACGUUAAACUAAAUCCUCACAUGACAGAAAUAAGGAUUCAAUGAUGCCCCAUCAGCAGGGUAAUAUAUCUAGUCGUCAAAUCCCAAAAUUACAUAUGCAGAGUUUAUUUAAAGCUGUACUGCCACCAUAUGCUGAACCCGUACUGCCAUCUAAGUCCCUCCACAGCACCAUUCAGGUCCAGUUUCUAGUUUGAUAAUGCAAAGAUACUCAAAGCAAGCCUACUGCAAAGGCACUAGUAGUAACCAGCUCCAUUUGAGC